rnacentral:rRNA from 1 species
GACGAGCGCUGGCGGCGUGCUUAACACACGCAAGUCGAACGGAAAGGCCCUGCUUUUGUGGGGUGCUCGAGUGGCGAACGGGUGAGUAACACGUGAGUAACCUGCCCUUGACUUUGGGAUAACUUCAGGAAACUGGGGCUAAUACCGGAUAGGAGCUCCUGCUGCAUGGUGGGGGUUGGAAAGUUUCGGCGGUUGGGGAUGGACUCGCGGCUUAUCAGCUUGUUGGUGGGGUAGUGGCUUACCAAGGCUUUGACGGGUAGCCGGCCUGAGAGGGUGACCGGCCACAUUGGGACUGAGAUACGGCCCAGACUCCUACGGGAGGCAGCAGUGGGGAAUAUUGCACAAUGGGCGGAAGCCUGAUGCAGCAACGCCGCGUGCGGGAUGACGGCCUUCGGGUUGUAAACCGCUUUCGCCUGUGACGAAGCGUGAGUGACGGUAAUGGGUAAAGAAGCACCGGCUAACUACGUG